AGAGUUUGAUUCUGGCUCAGGAUGAACGCUGGCGGCGUGCCUAAUACAUGCAAGUCGAGCGAACCACUUCGGUGGGAAGCGGCGAACGGGUGAGUAACACGUAGGUAAUCUGCCCAUCAGACGGGGACAACGAUUGGAAACGAUCGCUAAUACCGGAUAGGACGAAAGUUUAAAGAUGCUCCUGGCAUCGCUGAUGGAUGAGCCUGCGGCGCAUUAGCUAGUUGGUAGGGUAAAGGCCUACCAAGGCGACGAUGCGUAGCCGACCUGAGAGGGUGAACGGCCACACUGGGACUGAGACACGGCCCAGACUCCUACGGGAGGCAGCAGUAGGGAAUCUUCGGCAAUGGGCGAAAGCCUGACCGAGCAACGCCGCGUGAAUGAAGAAGGCCUUCGGGUUGUAAAAUUCUGUUAUAAGGGAAGAAAGGUGAUAGGAGGAAAUGACUAUCAAUUGACGGUACCUUAUGAGAAAGCCACGGCUAACUACGUGCCAGCAGCCGCGGUAAUACGUAGGUGGCAAGCGUUAUCCGGAAUUAUUGGGCGUAA
rnacentral:rRNA from 1 species